CAGUAGCCGCGGUAAUACGGAGGAUCCAAGCGUUAUCCGGAAUCAUUGGGUUUAAAGGGUCCGUAGGCGGUCUUGUAAGUCAGUGGUGAAAGCCCAUCGCUUAACUGUGGAACGGCCAUUGAUACUGCAGGACUUGAAUUAUUGGGAAGUAACUAGAAUAUGUAGUGUAGCGGUGAAAUGCUUAGAGAUUACAUGGAAUACCAAUUGCGAAGGCAGGUUACUACCAAUUGAUUGACGCUGAUGGACGAAAGCGUGGGUAGCGAACAGGAUUAGAUACCCCUGUAGUCCCUGUCUCUUAUAC
rnacentral:rRNA from 1 species